CCUACGGGUGGCAGCAGUGAGGAAUAUUGGUCAAUGGCCGGAAGGCUGAACCAGCCAAGCCGCGCGAAGGACGAAGGUGUCAAGCAUUGUAAACUUCUUUUGUCAAGGGACAAAAUCAGGCUCGAGAGCCUGACCGAGGGUACUUGAAGAAAAAGCAUCGGCUAACUCCGUGCCAGCAGCCGCGGUAAUACGGAGGAUGCGAGCGUUAUCCGGAUUUAUUGGGUUUAAAGGGUGCGUAGGCGGGCGGUUAAGUCAGCGGGAAAAGCCCGGGGCUCAACCCCGGCGAGCCGUUGAAACUGGCUGUCUUGAGAUGUCGAGAGGUAUGCGGAAUGCGCAGUGUAGCGGUGAAAUGCUUGGAUAGUGCGCAGAACUCCGAUUGCGAAGGCAGCAUACCGGCGGCGAUCUGACGCUGAGGCACGAGAGCGUGGGUAUCGAACAGGAUUAGAUACCCGGGUAGUC
rnacentral:rRNA from 1 species